rnacentral:rRNA from 1 species
AUUGAACGCUGGCGGCAGGCCUAACACAUGCAAGUCGAGCGAGCGGCGGACGGGUGCGUACUGUCUGGGAAACUGCCUGAUGGAGGGGGAUAACUACUGUAAACGGUAGCUAAUACCGCAUACCAUCAGAUGUUCCCAGUUGGGAUUAGCUGGUAGGUAGGGUAACGGCUUACCUAGGCCACGAUCCCUAGCUGGUCUGAGAGGAUGACACGCCACACUGGAACUGAGACACGGUCCAGACUCCUACGUGAGGCAGCAGUGGGGAAUAUUGCACAAUGGGCGCAAGCCUGAUGCAGCCAUGCCGCGUGUGUGAAGAAGGCCUUCGGGUUGUAAAGCACUUUCAGCGGGGAGGCGUUACCCGCAGAAGAAGCACCGGCUAACUCCGUGCCAGCCGCCGCGGUAAUAC